GUGUGACCUGCAAGCAGAGAGUCGCUCACUGUUUCAAGACCACUCAUUCCCUCUUUAUCUUUGAUGUUUUCAUCUCACUUUUUCUCAUUAUCUCACUUUUUCAAGGCCACAAUAUUGAUGCAUUUUCAUUCAAGGUUAAAAAGUGGGGGUAUAGUUAAUAUAUAGAAUUUAGUACAAGUUUGAUAGCAGUCAGUACUGAUUUAAUCCUCCGAGAAAUAAGAAUAUAAAAAAAGUGCAUAUAUCUGUGUUAAUGUCUAAGAGUAUUCGCUGCUGGGUCAUGGAUGUAUUGAAUCGAAUCGCUCGAUGCGGACAGAAGCCCAUUUUAAAAGCUGGUGAGCUAGAGUUGAACACAAGAUUCCGCAUACAUAAUAUUAGACGCACAAAGUCUCUGUUCGGAAAUUCAGUGCUUGUUGAGUUGGACAAUUAUGCAGUGUUUCUGCCGAGAAGAAUAAGUGAUUAUUUAACUGAGGAGAAAAUUGAUGAGUUAUUACGAGAUCCACGUCCACUAUAUAUAAUAUAUUUGGGAAAAGAAGAUGCUAGAAACCCGACAUCUGCACAUUGUUUUGAGUUUCAACGUGUUGAUGAUGAAAUAUUAGUUAACGAGAGUGCCGAAGAGUAGGAUGAAAUUAUCGGAAAAAGACUUAUGUGUGUGAAGUAGUGUGCGUUUUGUGCUAGUGAUAGUUUCUUAAAAUAAAUGAAUAAAAAUCAUGUGUCUAGACGAUGGACAAUAUGAAAAAUGUUUAUACGAGUGUUUUGAUAAAAGACUGUUAUCAUAUAAGAACUGGGUACAUUCAUACCCAUCUCCAUGGAGUUUAGCAAAAGCGGGAUUGUUUUAUAUUCAAAUAUCUGAUUGUACCCAGUGUUUUGUUUGUGGAGUAAUAAUUUCACGAUGGGAAAAAAGUGAUGAUGCGUUUAUGGAGCAUAAAAAACAUUCUCCAAAAUGUGGAUAUGUGAAAUUGCUUUCCACAGACAAAACUACAAUUCAAAAAUUCAAAUUAGUUACUAAAAAUAGCAUUGUUGUAGUUUUAUUUUUUAUAGUAUUUGUAUUCAUGUAUUAUUUAUGUGCGUCUUCUUAUGCAUAGGUAAUGUGAUGCAGACUUGUUAACCUUGAUCAGUGUCGGGCGCGCGCCAAAGGCAAGGUAAACUAAAGGUUUCAAGAGGCGUCUUGAUUUAAUUAGUUUAUAAUUAAAUAAGUGGUAGAAUAAUAUGGAGGAUUUAUAAUAGAUUUAAGGAUAUUUAAUGUACUACCUAUAAUAUUGAUGAAAUAAGUGUUUUAAUUGGUUCCUUUUAGUUUAUUUUAUUAAAAAAACAAUUCAUAAUAAUAAUAAUAAUAAUAAUAAUAAUAAUAAUUAUCUAUGUAAUAUCCGAUGAAUUAAUCCAAGAGUUAUGAGUUUUAUCCAUUCCACUCCACUUGACGAAUAAACGGUUACCUUUCUUUCGUAAAACUUUCUCAACGAGAUAUACAUUCGGAUAUUUAACUUUUUGUAAUUCUUCAGUGUAGAAACCUCCUCGUAUUGUUUCUCCAGAAACAUCUUGUAGCAAAUAAGUUCUAGGAUUAGUAUUUUGAAUCUUCAAAACUGUAAAUACUUCAUUACUCCAAUUUGGGGUGUACCCUUUCUUAAAAAGAUGUCGAUGUUUACUAAUUCGAACAAAAUCACCAACUUUAAAUUUGGGUUUAUAAAUGUCCAUUGUUUUAAGAUGACUAUAAACUUGAUCCAAAACUUUGCGUUCGUUUUUCUUAUUUAUUGAAAUCGGUUUUAAACCAGUAGUCCUAUGUCUGGUAUUAUUGUAUUUUUUUAUUAUGUCAGGUAAAAUGUUUAUCCAGUUGUAGUGACCUUGCACCGAAAAUUCUUUAUACAUCAUUCCCUUGAUUGUUCGAUUCACGCGCUCGACAACACUACUUUUUAAAUUCGAAUAAGAACUGUAGUGAUUAAUUUUGUAUUUAUUCAUUAAUUGUUGAAAAUGUUUAUUGUAAAACUCCUUUCCCAGAUCUGUUUGAAUGUUUUUAGGAACGUUACGUCGAGUUUUUAAAAUUUCACUCAUUGCAUUUACAACACUUAAAGCCGACUUAUUCUUUAAUGGAACAGCCCAUACAAAUUUAGAAAAAACAUUGAUAACCAUUAAGAUAUACUUAAAGCCUUUAUUGACGCGUGAAUAUGGUAUCAUUUCAACCAGAUCGAGUUGCAAUAAAUCAUUUAAACCUUUCACUAUCACACGUCGUCUUUUAAAGUUCACUCUCGCCGGUGCAUGUAGUUCAUUAACAACUUGACGCUUAAUAUUUAAAUCACUACGCUUCAUGGUGAAUUGGUACUUUCAAAACUAUUUCUAUAUAUAUCGGUUUAGCUUCUGAUGUUUUGGGUCCAUAUUUAAAUGAUAGUUUGUCACCUUCACGUAAAAUUUGACCAAUUAAAUUCGUAGUUUGUUUCGAAUUAAUUAAUGCAAUCCACCCGCUCGAUGGAUUACCAUUUACAGACGUAAUCGUUGCUUCUUUUAAUGGGAAAAUAUAAUUCGUACCAAUAUUAAAUAAUACAAAAAGUUUUUUAGCUGGAUCCAGUGUCCCAAAGAGUGAGAUUGUGGUAUAUGAGAAAGAUUUGACACGUUGUAAAGUUGUCCGAAUUCUGUGUUCACUAAUGUGUUCACCAAAUUUAUCUAAUGUCAUAUUCUUGUCUAUUGAAUGAAUAAAGUAUGUAGAAAUACUAACUAUAAAAUAUAAUGUGUUUGCAAUAUAUACAAGUCGUCUCUAAAUUAUUAACGAAUUAUUUUCGAUUCACGCAAUUCUGUUAUGAUGCGAUUGAUUUCAUUCAUAUGAUUAUUAUUACCAGCUACUGUCAAUGAUAAUAAAAGACGUAGUCUAUUUAC